AACGUAGGAGACAAACGUUAUCCGGAGUUACUGGGCGUAAAGGGCGUGUAGGCGGUUUGUUAAGUCUGGCGUGAAAGCUCUCGGCUAAACCGGGAGAGGUCGUUGGAUACUGGCGAACUAGAGGAUGGUAGAGGCGUGUGGAAUUCCGGGUGUAGUGGUGAAAUGCGUAGAGAUCCGGAGGAACACCAGUGGCGAAGGCGACACGCUGGGCCAUACCUGACGCUAAAGCGCGACAGCAUGGGGAGCAAACGGGAUUAGAAACCCCGGUAGUCCAUGCCGUAAACGAUGCCAGCUAGAUGUUCAGUUCGCGCAAGCGAGCGGGGUAUCGAAGCAAACGCGAUAAGCUGGCCGCCUGGGGAGUACGGUCGCAAGGCUAAA
rnacentral:rRNA from 1 species